GACGAACGCUGGCGGCGUGCCUAAUACAUGCAAGUAGAACGCUGAAGGAGGAGCUUGCUCUUCUGGAUGAGUUGCGAACGGGUGAGUAACGCGUAGGUAACCUGCCUGGUAGCGGGGGAUAACUAUUGGAAACGAUAGCUAAUACCGCAUAACAGUAGAUGUUGCAUGACAUUUACUUAAAAGGUGCAAUUGCAUCACUACCAGAUGGACCUGCGUUGUAUUAGCUAGUUGGUGGGGUAACGGCUCACCAAGGCGACGAUACAUAGCCGACCUGCGAGGGUGAUCGGCCACACUGGGACUGAGACACGGCCCAGACUCCUACGGGAGGCAGCAGUAGGGAAUCUUCGGCAAUGGACGGAAGUCUGACCGAGCAACGCCGCGUGAGUGAAGAAGGUUUUCGGAUCGUAAAGCUCUGUUGUAAGAGAAGAACGAGUGUGGGAGUGGAAAGUUCACACUGUGACGGUAUCUUACCAGAAAGGGACGGCUAACUACGUG
rnacentral:rRNA from 1 species